rnacentral:tRNA from 1 species
GUCAGAAUGGCUGAGUGGUCUAAGGCACCAGACUGAAGUUCUGGUGUCCUAAUGGAGAUGUGGGUUCAAAUCCCACUUUUCACA